rnacentral:rRNA from 1 species
AGCUCUAAUAGCGUAUAUUUAAGUUGUUGCAGUUAAAAAGCUCGUAGUUGGAUUUUGGGUUGGAGCAACCGGUCCGCCGUUCCGGUGUGCACUGGUGGCUUCUUCCUUUCUGCCGGGGACUGCGUCUGGCAUUCAUUUGCUGGGCGUAGGAGUCGGCGUGGUUACUUUGAGUAAAUUAGAGUGUUCAAAGCAAGCUUGUGCUCUGCAUACUUUAGCAUGGAAUAACAUUAUAGGACUCUGGUUCUAUUUUGUUGGUUUUCGGAACCGGAGUAAUGAUUAAUAGGGACAGUCGGGGGCAUCCGUAUUUCAUUGUCAGAGGUGAAAUUCUUGGAUUUAUGAAAGACGAACUUCUGCGAAAGCAUUUGCCAAGGAUGUUUUCAUUAAUCAAGAACGAAAGUAC